rnacentral:rRNA from 1 species
UGCGUAGGCGGACUAAUAAGUCAGUGGUGAAAUCUCUCGGCUCAACCGGGAAACUGCCAUUGAUACUGUUAGUCUUGAGUUCGGUUGAGGUAGGCGGAAUGUGUAAUGUAGCGGUGAAAUGCUUAGAUAUUACACAGAACACCAAUUGCGUAGGCAGCUUACUAGACCGACACUGACGCUGAGGCACGAAAACGUGGGUAGCGAACAGGAUUAGAUACCCUGGUAGUCC